rnacentral:rRNA from 1 species
GAACGCUGGCGGCGUGCCUAAUACAUGCAAGUCGAACGGUCUUUCUAUGGAAGCUUGCUUCCACUGAGAAGAUAGUGGGCGAACGGGUGAGUAACACGUGGGUAACCUGCCCAUAAGAGGGGGAUAACAUCCGGAAACGGGUGCUAAUACCGCAUAGUUUUCUUGAUCGCAUGAUCGGGAAAGGAAAGACGGCCUUUGUGCUGUCGCUUAUGGAUGGACCCGCGGCGUAUUAGUUAGUUGGUGAGGUAACGGCUCACCAAGACGAUGAUACGUAGCCGACCUGAGAGGGUGAUCGGCCACAUUGGGACUGAGACACGGCCCAAACUCCUACGGGAGGCAGCAGUAGGGAACCUUCCGCAAUGGACGAAAGUCUGACGGAGCAACGCCGCGUGAGUGAAGAAGGUUUUCGGGAAUCGUAAAACUCUGUUGUCAGAGAAGAACAAGUUGGAGAGUAACUGCUCCAGCCUUGACGGUAUCUGACCAGAAAGCCACGGCUAACUACGUGCCAGCAGCAGC